UAUCUCUCAAUUACAGCCUGUCAGCAAACAAAACCGACACCUCUAGGCAAACAAAUCCGACAAAAACUAGGUCUCCUCUCUGCGGCAGAAGGACAGUCUCUGUUGUGUUUGUUGUGCUCGCGGUGUGUCUGCGCAUCUCUCACCUGCUGCUCCUCCAGACACUUCUUCACACUCAGAUCUGCUGGAAAGACUUUCUUUAUUGUAACGCUGCUCUCUUGUGACACACUGGAAUAUGAAACAUCAGCAUCAGCAGCGCAGCAGAAUAAAGGAUGUCGAAAGCAGAGUUCUGGCACAUGUGGACAGACAUUUGCUUUAAUAACAGAAAUCUGGUCAUGGACAGGUAAUGCUAGUAGUUUUAUUUUAUUGUUUAAAUGUUAUUUAUAUAUUGUUUUCUAUAAUAUUUACAUGUUUAUCACUACGUAUUACAUAUGGCAUAUUUUUGGUAUUAUUAGUAUUUAUUUAAUUGUAGAAAAUUUAAUUCUUAUGUUGGUAUUUU
ensembl:lncRNA